UACGUAGGGACCGAGCGUUGUCCGGAAUCAUUGGGCGUAAAGAGCGUGUAGGCGGCUAUUUAAGUCAGGCGUGAAAGCCCCGGGCUCAACCUGGGAACCGCGCUUGAGACUGGAGAACUAGAGUUCGGGAGAGGAUGGUGGAAUUCCCAGUGUAGAGGUGAAAUUCGUAGAUAUUGGGAAGAACACCGAUGGCGAAGGCAGCCAUCUGGACCGACACUGACGCUGAGGCGCGAAAGCGUGGGGAGCAAACAGG
rnacentral:rRNA from 1 species